rnacentral:misc_RNA from 1 species
GUAACAUUCGCACUACAUAUGGUGCAGAGCGUGGAUCCGGAUCGGGAAUCGGAGCCGUUCAUUGAACUGGAUCCGACGGGUAGAUAUGGGCGGUACGACGAGCUAUUAGGUUAUGGAGCAGUGAAGAAGGUGUACAGAGCAUUUGAUCAGGAAGAAGGGAUUGAAGUAGCCUGGAACCAAGUGAAAUUGCGUAAUUUCAUGGAUGAUCAACAGGUGAUUGAUAGGCUGUAUUCGGAGGUUCGGCUAUUGAAAACUCUAAAGCAUAAGAAUAUAAUUGCAUUGUACUCUGUU